GCAAUAAUAGCUUAAUUUAGAGCAUUGGUCUUGUAAGUCAAAGGUGAGUAAAUAAACUCUUAUUGCU
rnacentral:tRNA from 1 species